GUGUUGAGAAGAUGGUGGAGAUUUGUAAGCAGGGCUAGGACCCCAGCCUGUGUAAGAAAGGGACAAAGCAUUCUAACCCUUCCGUGUCCUCGCUGCCCGCCACCCACUCAAGGGAACUUCACCUACUCAAGAGCCACAGGGGCUGGACAGAAGAACCUGGCAGCUGUCCAAAGCCUUCAGCGCCUAAUUUCCCACCAAGUGCAAGACUGACAAGGUUCUUCCCUGCGGUCUCCUCUUGCCAAUCCUCACCGCGUUCUUAGUUCCUGCCUCAGUGUUAUUUUCUCCAAGCAACAUAGCAAGUGAGGCCCGAUGGGUCUGGAAGGCUUACACGGCCCAAAGGGACAAUGACGGCAGGCUUCAGAGCUGUGGUUGAGAGUCUGGAGGAUUUCAGCCUGGAUUUCACAUACCAUCCUCAUCAUGAGGAAGGAAGCAGCCCCCAUCUGGGAGCUGGGAGCUUGGAAGGGUCCGGCUGCAUGGAGCUGGUGGUGGAACAUGUCAAGGGAGUCCAGGAGCUGAGCAUGGAUGCUCCAUCGCCCUCCUAUGUUUUGAAAUCUACUGAAUGUCACAGGUAAUCUUCCCUCUCUUCCUUCCAGGGGUACUGUGCGCCAGGCAUUCAAAGACAGCACUCAGGAGAUCUUCAUAGCAGCCCUCAAAGUAGGUUUUAGCCUCUGCUCAGAGUAACUGUUAAAUAACUCCAUGGAGGUUACAACAGCAGAACAGCAGAGGCUGGUGGAGCCACAAUUGAAGUUCAGGUCUGGCUGACACUGGGACAGUGUUUUUUCCCUCUUCCAUGGUGUAUUCAUCAAGCACUGGGCCUGACACCAGGGGACACAGAUAAACCAGAACCCCUGCCCUGCGGAAGCUGGUGGGGCAGGGAGGAGUCAAUAACAACUGAGACAGACCGGAGCAAAAGGUGGGCUGAAGCAGGGCUGGAAAUGACUUCAGUGGAGCACAGGAGAGGGAGAGACGCAGCUGCAAAGAGGUGCUGACUGAGUCAGGGAGAGGCUGUUACGGAGGGGGACAACCCUCAGGGAUGGUGGCUCUCUAAAGGAGCAGGACAUGGCGACUAAAUGCAAUGUGGGAUCCCAGGUUGGCUCUUGGAUUAAAAAUAAUAAUAAUAAUAAAAAGCUACAGGCUGGGCACAGUGGCUCACACCUGUAAUCCCAGCACUUUGGGAGGCCGAGAUGGGCAGAUCGUUUGAGCUCAGGAGUUCGAGACCAGACUGGGCAACAUGGUGAAACCCUGUCUCUACCCAUGAUACAAAAACUUAGCCGGGUGUGGUGGUGUG
rnacentral:lncRNA from 1 species